rnacentral:misc_RNA from 1 species
GUCACUUGCAAUGGCCUGAUCUUAGGUUAGGAAACUGCUUGUGUUUCAUUGUUACAUUUGUUCCAGGAGGAUCGUCAAUAAAAUAACUAGCAAGUGAACCAAACCAAUGGUUGCUUUUGGGUUGUUCGAUCGUGUGGAAACUGAAGCAGCAAUUCGAUUGUUUACUUCCUUUUUACGUUGGGGUUUGGACCAUAGACUACUUUAGAAUGCUUGAUCUAUUGGAUUGCAGUUCAUCUUCAAUAAAGCUAGCUUUAGCUAAUGAGAACAUUACCUGUGGACCCAUUGUUCUUCUUUUUGUUGCCUCUUUUCAACCAUUUCGAUUGUCUACUCCCGUUUGCAAUGCGAGCUUGUGUUUUCAUGCACAUUUUUCUACCCCUUUUGAAGCUGAGAAAAACCUUGGUUUUGAGUUCACAACCCCAUGGACAAAGACUUGGUCUUCGUCUAUAAUUACAUCUAAUUGUUCUUCAUUAUACCUAAAAUGCUAUAU